AACCCGACUACAUGAAGCUGGAAUCGCUAGUAAUCGCAGGUCAGCAUACUGCGGUGAAUACGUUCCCGGGUCUUGUACACACCGCCCGUCACACCAUGGGAGCCGGAAAUGCCCGAAGCCAGUGACCCAACCUUAGGGAGGGAGCUGUCGAAGGUGGAGCCGGUAACUGGGGUGAAGUCGUAACAAGGUAUC
rnacentral:rRNA from 1 species